GAGAAAGAAAGAGAAAAAGAAAGAGAAAUAAGAGAUGAUGAAAUUGCAACGAAGAGACUUGUUUGUCCUCCACAUUGUGAUUUCUCUCUUUUAACU
rnacentral:ribozyme from 13 species